UGCUGACCUGCUUCCGCUCCUGGUGCCCGGUGCCCGCUCACACUCGGGUCCUUCGCUAGCCCCUGGGACGCCCUUAGGAAUUCCCGCCGCCCCGGAAGUCCCACCCCUUCCCAUCAGACUCCCCUGUUCUGGAGGAGAGGCUUGCCUUUUUCUGUGGUUGACAUUUCCUUGGUGUAGGCUUCAGGCUAGGGAAGGGAGACCACCGAAAUCCUUCCCAUCCUGUGACUACUGACCAAGUUUUUCUGCUCCUCUUCUGUGGUGACCCCUGUCUCUUAGUUGCAGGAGUUGUACUCUAUGUGUAUCCAUUAAAGGAGCAGAGCUGAACUCUAGCAACUUCGCCAGAGAAACCUCCUGCCGAGUAAAACUGCUACUUCUGGGCAAAAAUUCCCAGCUGGAAGACCCUGUCCUGUUAGCUGAUACACUGGGGAAGCCUUUUCCAGAGGCAAGGCUGUAAGCUGCUAAGCUUACUACAACCUGUGGUAGUCCUUGGCUCCAGAGCUCCAGGUACCUUUCCAGCUGAGCUGUGUAACACUCAGUGUUCUGUGACUCCCGAGUGCCAGAAUACCUGUCU